rnacentral:lncRNA from 1 species
CUUAUUUGGCAUGGAGGACUGUGUUAUGGUCACCCAAAGGUCAUCAGAUCCAUUGAUGAGCUGGAACAAUGUAGGGAGCAUUAUGAAAACCAACUGGGUCUGUGAGAACCAGACGCACAAUCAACUGGGUCUUUGAGAACCAGACGCACAAUCAACUGGGUCUGUGAGAACCAGAUGCACAAUCAACUGGGUCUGUGAGAACCAGACGCACAAUCAACUGGGUCUGUGAGAACCAGACGCACACAAUCAACUGGGUCUGUGAGAACCAGACGCACAAUCAACUGGGUCUGUGAGAACCAAACACACAAUCAACUGGGUCUGUGAGAACCAGACGCACAAUCAACUGGGUCUGUGAGAACCAGACGCACAAUCAACUGGGUCUGUGAGAACCAGACGCACAAUCUACUGGGUCUGUGAGAACCAGACGCACAAUCUACUGGGUCUGUGAGAACCAGACGCACAAUCAACUGGGUCUGUGAGAACCAGAUGCACAAUCAACUGGGUCUGUGAGAACCAGACGCACAAUCAACUGGGUCUGUGAGAACCAGACGCACAAUCAACUGGGUCUGUGAGAACCAGACGCACAAUCAACUGGGUCUGUGAGAACCAGACGCACAAUCAAUUGGGUCUGUGAGAACCAGACGCACAUCCAUGUUGAACACUAGUUGUAAUGGUUAUGGCUCCAUGGUUAAAGAAAGAGAUGUCUGGGAUUAUCCAACUGACAGGGUCUCUUUCAUGUUUGAAUCCCAGAUUGCACCUUUAUUAAGACUAUCUGGUGGAGUUGUGUUGGAUAUCCAUGUGAGGUUUUAAGCUGUUUUAGUUUUUAUUUGACAACAUUAUAUCAGAAAUGAACAUUAUAUCAGAAAUUAUUAUGGACUCCAGUGCACUAAAUAUACAGUAGAACUGAUCAGGUGUUAUAUUAGUAGUGAAGUAUACAUACAUACCAUUGUGUUUAUUUAACUAAGCAAGUCCGUUAAGAACAAAUUCUUAUUUACAAUGACGGUCUAGGUAACAGUGGGAUAACUGCCUUGUUCAGGGGCAGAAGGACAGAUGUUUACCUUGUCAGCUCAGAGAUUCAAUCCAGCAACUUUUCAGUUAUUGGCCCAAUGCUCUAACCACUAGGCUACAUGCCGCCCCAUUUAAUGUGUAUGUUGGGGCCUAGUCCCUCAUCCAGCGACUGUCAACACAACACCUCAGUCGUUACACCAAGAGAUAUGAAACCCUUGACAAGGUUGCUAGGUGUUGGGUUAAGGUCACUACAGUAUAAACUCAGUAUAGACCAGGUUAUGAGGUUGCUAGGUGUUGGGAUAAGGUCACUACAGUAUAAACUCAGUAUAGACCAGGUUAUGAGGUUGCUAGGUGUUGGGUUAAGGUCACUACAGUAUAAACUCAGUAUAGACCAGGUUAUGAGGUUGCUAGGUGUUGGGUUAAGGUCACUACAGUAUUAACUCAGUAUAAACCAGGUUAUGAAGUUGCUAGGUGUUGGGUUAAGGUCACUACAGUAUAAACUCAGUAUAGACCAGGUUAUGAGGUUGCUAGGUGUUGGGUUAAGGUCACUACAGUAUUAACUCAGUAUAGACCAGGUUAUGAGGUUGCUAGGUGUUGGGUUAAGGUCACUACAGUAUAAACUCAGUAUAAACCAGGUUAUGAGGUUGCUAGGUGUUGGGUUAAGGUCACUACAGUAUUAACUCAGUAUAGACCAGGUUAUGAGGUUGCUAGGUGUUGGGUUAAGGUCACUACAGUAUUAACUCAGUAUAGACCAG